CCUCCCUGGACUAAAAUACAAUUUCCACUGUUCUUUCUCACAUUUCUCCAUUUCCCUUCAUAGGCACCUCUCAUCUUUUCCCUAAAACUUUUCACGGAACGCAGCUCGUCCUCAUUUCUCCUCAACUCCCGCAAUGUAGCUCAUCCUUGCAACGAACGCAUCUCCUGCAACGCUGCUCAUCAUCAUUUCGUGGUCUCCGUCGUCAUCUAGGGUUCAUCUGUGUCGCUGUUGCGGUCGUUGUUGUCGUUGCGGUCGCUGUUGCCGUUUCGGUCGUCGGUUCGUUCUGAGUUGUGGUGGUCGUCGAGUCCUUUGCUGCGGUAGUGGCCGUUCCGUCCUUAGUUGUAGUGGCGGUUGAGUUACCUCGUUCCCCCAUUUUGAAAGGAGGAGCCUCUGCCUAAGUCACUUUGCUCGUCAAUGAUGCCUCAAUCUCUUGAAGGAUAGCAGCUUCAAGGUCUCGCAGGGCACGCUUCAGGCGCUCGACUCUGCCGCCAUUCGAGCUAGCGACCACUUCAAGCUCCAAUUCAAUGUGUUCGCUUCUGUGGGAGAAUGGUGGAGGCACAAAAAGCAAGGAUCUAGUAAGCUUAAGAGUGAGAAGAAGAGAGGGUGCAAGCUAUGAAGCGUUUCGGUUUGAGUACAGGACGCGUGAAGUUACGGGGUUUGGUGGAGGUGCGUUUCUGGAGAAGACAAACUAAGUUCCAGGUUGUUCUGGAACUAUGCUCUAUUUUAGUUCAAAUAAAAGAGAAAGGUGAUAAGGAGAAAUGGGUUUAAACGUCUGAACGUGGUUGGGUUGUGUUUCAGUAGUAGGUUGAAGUAGUUAUAGAAAGAAAAAAUGAUGAACAUCUAAACUGAAUGUGUUUAUUUCGGUGUUCUUGCUAUUCAUUUUUGUCUUGCGAGUAGGAUUGGUUUUAUUAUUAAGUGGUUAAAUUGUUAAAAAUGUGAUUUUGGAAAAAUAGGAGUACUAUGUGUUUUGGUUAUUUUAGUUGGGUUUUAUAAUUGAGAUGAUAAUAAGCUGGAAAAUUAGAAGUAAUGUAUGCUUUGGUUACAAAGAGAAAAAUUGAUCCUAUGUUUGAGCUGGCAUUGUUCUGGUUGGUAUGAAAUAAUGGGUAUGUUGAUAUUAAUGGUAUUGUGGCAUUCUAAAGACGAGAAGGAUGAUAUGCGAGGAUGUUUUAGGUGGGUCUUGGUUAUUAAUGAGUAUAUGGAGUGGAAAUUUAUGGUGGUUAUGUGCAUUUUUUUGGUUGGAUUAUAUAUAUAGCAGUGUAACAAAUAAAAUUGGCAGAGUGUUUUAAAGACGUGAUGGUAUGAGUUUUUGUAAUUCACAGGUAUAUAGAGAUGUUUAUUGAGCUCUUUUUAGUGUUAUAGAUUUGUGAACACUUUUAGGGGUAAUAUAUAUAAUAUUAUUGAAUGGAGUUGUAAUGUUAAAAGGUCUGGAUAAUGGAAAACAGAUGCAAGGAUCACUUUUAAUAUUAAAAUAUUGAUAUUGAAUUAAGAAUGGGAUAUUGGUUGUUUCGUUCAGAAAUUGUUUGACAAGCUGCAGUACCUUUUGAAUUAAGGUCACGUUUUAUAGAAUUGAUGGUUGAUGUAUUAUAAAUUGGUGGAAUAACUAUUUGUAUUUUAUUAAGUGUUUUAUAAAUUAUAAUUAGGAAGGAUAUGUUUACAUAUACUGUAAUGUUAAGCAAUAUAUGGAUUAUUAUGUGUUAAAUUGAUUAUUAAGAAGCAAAGCAUGAUUCAGUGGUGGAAACUUGGAUUCUUGGAAUUUCUUUUAUAUACUAGUUUGUUUCCAAUGAGUGGGUGUUAGUUCUGUUUUCAUUAUUGGAGAUAUUACGGGGCUAAAAUUAUAUGUGAACAUGAUCAUUGAAAUGAUUGGAAUUUACUUUGAUGCUAAUGUGGUUGCUUUUGAAUAGU